rnacentral:sRNA from 1 species
GGCUGUCCGUCGCCGCAGUCUCACUCUGUUUCCCAGACUGGAGUGCAAUGGCACAAUCUCAGCUCACUGUAAUUCUGCCUCCCGUGUUCAAGCGAUUCUCGUGCCUCAGCCUCCCGAGUAGCUGGGAUUACAGUAAAGGGAAGAGCUCUCCAACAGGCCCACCCACCUGUCUUAAGGCCUGCGAUCUCAACGCAGGAGGUACUGGGAAUGGUCUGUCCCUGCUCGGGGCUGUUGCUGGGUAGAACCCCGAAAGAAGAGGAAGAGGAAAGCAAAGGAGUCAGGGAUGGCUCUUCGUCAGGAAAAACAACUCAAAAACCAUGUUUUCCUCUGGUCUCACACCAACACCACAAUCCACACCGAAGACUUCUGUGGCCAAAUACGAGGGAUUUCUCCCCACCAACAAACAGCGAGCAACCAACUGGCUGUCCUCCAGUUCAAUUCCAACACUGUCUGCAUGAAGACAGUGUCAGAUCUCACAGAUUGAUGGCUCAGUUCCCAAUUGCAUGUCCAGGUCUCUGAAACUUCUGACCGACCAACUUCAAGUUGAGGUUCCGAACCAUGAACCCUUCUUUGGGUUGGAUUAAUUUGCU